AUUGAACGCUGGCGGCAGGCCUAACACAUGCAAGUCGAGCGGAUGAAGGGAGCUUGCUCCUGGUUUCAGCGGCGGACGGGUGAGUAAUGCCUAGGAAUCUGCCUGGUAGUGGGGGAUAACGUCCGGAAACGGGCGCUAAUACCGCAUACGUCCUGAGGGAGAAAGUGGGGGAUCUUCGGACCUCACGCUAUCAGAUGAGCCUAGGUCGGAUUAGCUAGUUGGUGGGGUAAAGGCCUACCAAGGCGACGAUCCGUAACUGGUCUGAGAGGAUGAUCAGUCACACUGGAACUGAGACACGGUCCAGACUCCUACGGGAGGCAGCAGUGGGGAAUAUUGGACAAUGGGCGAAAGCCUGAUCCAGCCAUGCCGCGUGUGUGAAGAAGGUCUUCGGAUUGUAAAGCACUUUAAGUUGGGAGGAAGGGCAGUAAGUUAAUACCUUGCUGUUUUGACGUUACCAACAGAAUAAGCACCGGCUAACUUCGU
rnacentral:rRNA from 1 species